rnacentral:rRNA from 1 species
CAGUAGCCGCGGUAAUGCGAAGGGAGCCAGCGUUGUUCGGAAUCACUGGGCGUAGAGCGCACGUAGGCGGCUAUUCAAGUCAGGGGUGAAAGCCCGGGGCUCAACCCCGGAACUGCCUUUGAAACUAGAUAGCUUGAAUCUUGGAGAGGCGAGUGGAAUUCCGAGUGUAGAGGUGAAAUUCGUAGAUAUUCGGAAGAACACCAGUGGCGAAGGCGACUCGCUGGACAAGUAUUGACGCUGAGGUGCGAAAGCGUGGGGAGCAAACAGGAUUAGAUACCCCGGUAGUCCCUGUCUCUUAUAC